UAACGUCAGUGCUGAUCUGGGACGACGCUCGGGAGACGCGAGACCCCAAAGACAAGCUGGUGCUGGAGUUCACCUUCACCAAACCUGUGCUAGCUGUUCGCAUGAGGCACGACAAGAUCAUCAUUGUAUUAAAGAACAGGAUCUACGUGUACAGUUUUCCAGACAGUCCAGUUAAGCUUUUUGAGUUUGACACCAGAGAUAACCCCAAAGGUCUGUGUGAUCUGUGUCCCAGUCUGGAGAAACAGCUGCUGGUCUUUCCAGGCCAUAAAUGCGGCAGCCUGCAGUUGGUUG